rnacentral:ncRNA from 2 species
UACUUAUAAAGAAAGACUGAGGGAAAGGCCCUGUAACGUCUUAGCAACCUGUACUAGCCGGAAGUAAAAGGUGCUAAUUCCUACUCUGUAGAAAGAGAAAGAUAAGUU